GCCACAAGGAGAGACCCUGGAGGAUGAGACACCAUGUAAACAGAGAGGACAAGGAGCCAGACAUGCAAAUGAAGAAACCGUCUUGGGCAACCAACUCAGUCCAGCCUUCAGAUAAUUCCAGUGCCAGCCAUUAUCUAACUACAACUACAAAAGAGAGUCCAAGAUGGAAUCACCCACCUGAGUCCACUCAACCCCCAGAACCACGCAGAUUCCCAACCACUGCGCCACCAGGGAAGCCCAACAGACAAGUUUUUUGAAAACACAGUGGGAAACCGGCUUCCACAUUUAGAAAUUCAGACCUACAUCUCCCAGUUGGUAAGCAGUCAUGACCCUGUUGAGACUGGAUUUGCACAGUCAGUACUGUCUUUGAAACUAAAGAUUGGUGCCAGUUGAUUUUUCUACAAGGUGAAGACUUGGUUCCUUGGACCCUCCAGCAACUCGGCCUCAGCCUGUUCAGAACAAAGACUUCUCACUUCUCACUGAGAUUAAGCGAGAGAAAACGUUUCUGGUGUAAGCACAGAUUUCUGCUCCUUUCUCUACCUCUGUUUCAAACUUUUGUAUAAACCAACUAGCUGAAGAAAUAUAAAUGCCUGAGUGGGAACCUGUCAAGGAGAGGAUACAGGCAGUCUCCUGAGGCUGAAGGACUCUACCAAAUAUUCUGAAGCUGACAACACUUCAAGGAUGAGGUUUAUCAAAUCAGGGGCUGAGAUGUGCACAAGGAAUGAGAUGUUAAAUGGACACAAACUGGCAACCAGAUUCAAAAUCCUUUGAGAAUGUUAACCUCUUGGCCAGGUCUGGAUUCAAAGAGAAUUGUUAACCCACACUUCCUGACGACAGCUAUACAGCUGAGUUAGGUUCCUAAGAGGGGAUGUGGGAUAUUACGGCUGGAUAAACCCCCACCAUUUAGCAAAUAAGAGCCACGAAUCAUUUAGUGCAUUACUUCUGCAUUGCAGUAAACAUCCUCUCAGCGGCUCCCAGAAUUGAUGGACCUUCUUAACAUUUAAUCUGCUGCUCUUAGAGCAGUGAGUCUCAUCAUUAGUGUGCAGAGAAUCAGCCAGCGGGCUUGUUCAAACAACAUUUCAGCCCCAUCUCCAAACGUUUCAGAUUCUGUAGGUCUGGGGUAAACCCGGAGAAACUGCAUUUCUAGAAAUUCCCAGGUGAUACUGUGAAGACUACUGUCCUAGAGAAAGCCUGGGCACCAGACCGAAUCCAGCCCCGUUUUGUCCCAAGGGGCAAAUCUGAGGUUAACUUUCCUUAAGCUUCUUAGAAAUCAGUGGGUUUUCAAAGAAAUCAUAUUUUUCAAAAGUCAUCCAUAUUUCUUUGCAUAUGAGCCGUCCAUCUCUGUCCUAAAGAAGUUCUUUUGGUUUUGAUUAUUUUGAAAGACGGAGAAAGAACAGAUCUAUUACCAGUGACUCAGAAAAACACUUAUCCUGCUUAAGUGAGUAAUAACAGGCGUAACAUGUUUUUCAUUGUGCAUGUGUGUUUCACAGAGAAAAUGUGUUUUACUGGUGCACAUUGUAUAUUCAUGUAUAUAAAAUCAUUA